rnacentral:rRNA from 1 species
AGAGCGAACGCUGGCGGCAGGCCUAAUACACGCAAGUCGAACGGAUCCUUCGGGAUUAGUGGCGGACGGGUGAGUAACACGUGGGAACGUGCCCUUUGGUUCGGAACAACUCGGGGAAACUUGAGCUAAUACCGGAUGUGCCCUUCGGGGGAAAGAUUUAUCGCCAUUGGAGCGGCCCGCGUCUGAUUAGCUAGUUGGUAGGGUAAAGGCCUACCAAGGCUUCGAUCAGUAGCUGGUCUGAGAGGAUGAUCAGCCACACUGGGACUGAGACACGGCCCAGACUCCUACGGGAGGCAGCAGUAGGGAAUCUUGCGCAAUGGGCGAAAGCCUGACGCAGCCAUGCCGCGUGAAUGAUGAAGGUCUUAGGAUUGUAAAAUUCUUUCAGCGGGGACGAUAAUGACGGUACCCGCAGAAGAAGCCCCGGCUAACUUCGUGCCAGCAGCCGC